GAUGAACGCUGGCGGCGUGCUUAACACAUGCAAGUCGAACGGUGAACCCGGAGCUUGCUCUGUGGGAUCAGUGGCGAACGGGUGAGUAACACGUGAGCAACCUGCCCCUGACUCUGGGAUAAGCGCUGGAAACGGCGUCUAAUACUGGAUAUGUGACGUGACCGCAUGGUCUGCGUUUGGAAAGAUUUUUCGGUUGGGGAUGGGCUCGCGGCCUAUCAGCUUGUUGGUGAGGUAAUGGCUCACCAAGGCGUCGACGGGUAGCCGGCCUGAGAGGGUGACCGGCCACACUGGGAUUGAGACACGGCCCAGACUCCUACGGGAGGCAGCAGUGGGGAAUAUUGCACAAUGGGCGAAAGCCUGAUGCAGCAACGCCGCGUGAGGGAUGACGGCCUUCGGGUUGUAAACCUUUUUUAGCAGGGAAGAAGCGAAAGUGACGGUACCGGCAGAAAAAGCGCCGGCUAACUACG
rnacentral:rRNA from 1 species